rnacentral:misc_RNA from 1 species
AUUGUCAAGUGAUGAGUGGGAUAGUAUACCUGAAAUAGGGGAUUAUUCGUUACGAAACAAGAAGAAGAGGUUUGAGAGUUUUGUGCCUGUACCUGAUACUCUUUUGGAGAAGGCUAGGCAGGAAAAAGAGCACGUAACUGCAUUGGAUCCGAGGAGCAGGAUGGUUGGUGGCAUGGAGACGCCCUCUUCACAGACGCCAGUUGCAGAUUUGACUGCUGUGGGUGAAGGGAGAGGAACUGUGUUGUCAGUGAGGUUGGAUAGGAUUUUGGAUUCUGUUACUGGGCAAACCGUCGUGGAUCCUAAGGGAUACUUGACUGAUUUGAAGAGUAUGAAAAUUACUAGUGAUGCUGAGAUUUCCGAUAUAAAGAAGGCUAGAUUGUUGCUUAAGUCGGUUACUCAGACCAAUCCAAAGCAUCCUCCUGGUUGGAUAGCAGCUGCUAGACUGGAGGAGGUUGCUGGGAAGAUG